rnacentral:lncRNA from 1 species
UCGAUCGCUAUUACGAUUCAUUUUCCGACCGAUCAAUAUAUCCAAUGGAUGUUUAAGUGCCACCCACAUUAGGGUUAUACUUUGUCGUUCGUCGUUAAAUCGAUGGAUGUUUAAGUAUCGCACUUUGUCGUUCGUUGUGAGAAUUUGAUCUCGUGAGUUAUCGUAAUUGUUGUAUUAAGUUACCUACCUAGUUCGUAUGCACUAGGUUAUAAGGCUAAAUCAAUAGGCUAAGCUCUACCUGUGUAAAUCUGCAAUAUAUCAAGGCUUAUCUGUAAGAUUAAACUUUGGCCGUAUGAAUCUGCAUGAUUAUAAUGUAAUUACAGUACAUUGGAAUAAGAAUUGGAUCCGGCACCGAAGGCAUCAAGAAGUGGCUUAUUUUAUUAAUUAAAUAUUACAGUACAUUGGAAUAAGAAUUGGAUCCGGCACCGAAGGCAUCAAGAAGUGGCUUAUUUU